UACAGAGGUCUCAAGCGUUGUUCGGAUUCAUUGGGCGUAAAGGGUGCGUAGGCGGCGCGGUAAGUCGGGUGUGAAAUCUUGGAGCUUAACUCCGAAACUGCAUUCGAUACUGCCGUGCUUGAGGACUGGAGAGGAGACUGGAAUUUACGGUGUAGCGGUGAAAUUCGUAGAUAUCGUAAGGAAGACCAGUGGCGAAGGCGGGUCUCUGGACAGUUCCUGACGCUGAGGCACGAAGGCCAGGGGAGCAAACGGG
rnacentral:rRNA from 1 species